ACCAAAGGUUCUUUGUGCAGCAGGCAAGAACGUACUUGGGUGCAAGAAAAACCACAAAGUUGUCGUGUGUUUCUUCACCUGGAUAUGUUUACAGAUUAUGCAGAAAGAUAUUCAGUCCAAAACAGAUGAGCAUUUUGAAGUAUAAAUAAUAGAAACUUUAAUCUGUCCAUACCUAGACAUUUCCUACUUCUCUGACUCUGAAGAAUAAAGGAUGUCACUGAUAACAUCCCUAUCAAUUAAUACCAACAAAAUCAAUAGUGGUGGUGGUCAUGGUAGAACAAAGUAUUCCGGAAAAGAGCAUAGGUGACUGAUUGGCUGGCUGGAAUCCUGAACAAGAGUGCUUCUGUUGGGAACUAAGGAUAUACUGCAAAAUGUUGAUGUACUGUAGUUCCACUUAUUCCUUCAAACAGAAGACUCAGAUGGUUGAGAGGCUGAAUCUGUCACUGAAACAGCGCCAUGGAGAACCAAAAAGGAGGUGUUUGCAAAUUGAGGUGAAUUCUGAGGUGCCAGGAAGGCUGAGGAGCUUCAGAAGGAGAGACAAGAGUGUUGACUAAUUAAGUGUGAGAAUGUCUCCAUUUUCAGUGAUAUGUGGUUACACUGGUGCUAAGGGUCAGACAGGGCCUGACAUGGGAGAUCUUUAAUCAGCAUGACUGCUAAUGAAGCUCAAAGAACUGAAAGAAAGGGUGUUUAAAAUGUUCCUUUUCACCCCACCAUCUCCUGAGUGAAAUUACUCUUCCAGAUACAGCUAUGUCUUCUACUGUAGAAUGAAUGGUAGCUGAUUGCGAAGAUGGUGUCUUUUCCUCCUGUCCGAUACUACUUACCCCAGGCCAGAAAUAAACAGAAAUGUGUUGCAGAGAGGUGACUAAAA
rnacentral:lncRNA from 1 species